rnacentral:sRNA from 1 species
GUAGUGAACAUGGGUGUCGACCGCUCCGGCGGUCAAUAUGCGCCCCUCACCCGCGAUCACGUCCGUGCUCGGUCCAAUGUGAAGAUCCGGGUGAAUACCGUCCAUGACAUCGGGGUUGCCCGAUUUACCGAUCGCCACGAUCCGGCCGUCACGGACACCGACGUCGCCACGCACGAUCCCCCAGUGGUCGAGCACGACCACAUUGGUGAUGACCAGAUCGACAGCGCCCUGAUCGCGCGUCGUGAGACCCUGCCCCAUGGAUUC